GCAGUCACAUUCCAGCCAAUCAGCAGCAGACCCUCCCUCCCAGACCCUCCCACCUCCUGGACAGCAUCCAUUUUACAUUCAUUGUGAAGCUGCAUUCUUAGUGAGCUGUCCAGGAGGUGGGAGGGUCUGGGAGGGAGGGUCUGCUGCUGAUUGGCUGGAAUGUGUCUG